rnacentral:rRNA from 1 species
AUGUCGGAGCAUAACUGGUCGGUGUACGAGGAGGCCCUCAAGGCCAAUCCGGUUCUUGGCAAGAUGAUGAUCAUCAGCGUCGUCUACUCCUUCGGCGACUGGAUAGCCCAGCCCAGGGUGCUCGAGCGCGACGACACGCCUACUGAGUUCCUAGCGCUCGCGAACGCCGAAGUUGGACGCGCCCAUGCAUGCAUUUUAGAUCCGAGGACGGCAUCGUGA